ACCCGCUGAACUUAAGCAUAUCAAUAAGCGGAGGAAAAGAAACCAACAGGGAUUGCCUUAGUAACGGCGAGUGAAGCGGCAAAAGCUCAAAUUUGAAAUCGGCCACCAGGUCGAGUUGUAAUUUGUAGAUUGUAUCUUGAGAGCGGAUUAAAGUCUGUUGGAACACAGCGCCUUAGAGGGUGACAGCCCCGUAAAAUCUAUUCUCAUUGUAAGAUACUUUCGAAGAGUCGAGUUGUUUGGGAAUGCAGCUCUAAGUAGGAGGUAAAUUCCUUCUAAAGCUAAAUAUUGACGAGAGACCGAUAGCGAACAAGUACUGUGAAGGAAAGAUGAAAAGCACUUUGAAAAGAGAGUGAAAAAGUACGUGAAAUUGCUAAAAGGGAAGGGUAUUGAAUCAGACUUGGUGCUGUUGUUCAACUGUGUUUUGGCACAGUGUACUCAGCAGUACUAGGCCAAGGUGGGGUGUUUGGGAGUGAAAAAGAAGUUGGAACGUAACUCUUCGGAGUGUUAUAGCCUACUUUCAUAGCUCCUCAGGCGCCUCAGGACUGCGCUUCGGCAAGGACCUUGGCAUAAUGAUUCUAUACCGCCCGUCUUGAAACACGGACCAAGGAG
rnacentral:rRNA from 1 species